ensembl:snoRNA
AUCCUUUUGUAGUUCACGAGUGUGAAUAUUGGGUGUUCACACACGUGUGAGACGUGCCACCAUUGAACCUUGUCACGAUGUCAGCACAUUACCUAUCUGACA